rnacentral:rRNA from 1 species
AUUGAACGCUGGCGGCAGGCCUAACACAUGCAAGUCGAGCGGAUGAAGGGAGCUCGCUCCUGGAUUCAGCGGCGGACGGGUGAGUAAUGCCUAGGAAUCUGCCUGGUAGUGGGGGAUAACGUCCGGAAACGGGCGCUAAUACCGCAUACGUCCUGAGGGAGAAAGUGGGGGAUCUUCGGACCUCACGCUAUCAGAUGAGCCUAGGUCGGAUUAGCUAGUUGGUGGGGUAAAGGCCUACCAAGGCGACGAUCCGUAACUGGUCUGAGAGGAUGAUCAGUCACACUGGAACUGAGGCACGGUCCAGACUCCUACGGGAGGCAGCAGUGGGGAAUAUUGGACAAUGGGCGAAAGCCUGAUCCAGCCAUGCCGCGUGUGUGAAGAAGGUCUUCGGAUUGUAAAGCACUUUAAGUUGGGAGGAAGGGCAGUAAGUUAAUACCUUGCUGUUUUGACGUUACCAACAGAAUAAGCACCGGCUAACUUCGUG